AGAAGGGAUUGUUUAUGAGGGUCAAGGAGCUGGAGGCCUGGGGAGGAGCUGGUGUUUCUGUUCAAGUUUGAGGGUCCUGGAGCUGGAGCCCAGGGGAGGAGCCAGUGCUGCCACUGAUGUCUUAGGGUCGUGGAGCUGAAGAUCCCAGAGGAGCCGGUGCUGCUAUUCUAGCUUGAGUUUCGUGGAGCUGGAGACCCAGGGAGAAGAUGGUGCUGCUGUUCUAAUUUAAGGAUCGUGAAACAGAAGACCCAGAAAGGAGCUGGUGCUGCCGCUGCUCAGAUCUGAGGGUGUUGGAGCUGGAGCCUGGGGGUGGAGCCAUUGCUGCCAUUGAAGUGUGAGAGUCAUUGAGCUGGAAGUCCAGGAAGCAGCUGGUGCUGCUGUUCUAGUUUGAGGGUUGUGGAGUGCAGACCCAGGCAGGAGCAACAUUGCUGUAGUUCGAGGGUCAGAAAGCUGGCGACCCAGGGAGGAGAGGUCUUGUUCUAGUUUGAUUUUCGUGGAGCUGCAGACCCAGGGAGGAGCAAUGUUGUUGUAAUUCGAGGGUGUGGUAGCUGGCAACCUGGGGAGGAGAAGUCUUGUUCGAGUUUGAGGCUCGUGGAGCUGCCGACCAGGGAGGAGCAAUUUUGUUGCAGUUCGAGGGUCAGGAAGCUGGCGACCCAGGGAGGAGAGGUCUUGUUCUAGUUUGAGGGUCGUGGAGCUGCAGACCCAUGGAGGAGCAAUUUUGUUGUAAUUCGAGGGUCUGGAAGCUGGAGACCCAGGGAGGAGAGGUCUUGUUCUAGUUUGAGGGUCGUGGAGCUGCCGAACCAGGGAGGAGCAAUGUUGUUGUAAUUGGAGGGUCCGGAAGCUGGCGACCCAGGGAGGAGAGGUCUUGUUCUGGUCUGAGGGUCCUGGAGCUACAGACCCAGGGAGGAGCAAUGUUGUUGUAAUUUGAGGGUUCGGUAGCUGGCACCCUGGGGAGGAGAAGUCUUGUUCUAGUUUGAGGGUGGUGGAGCUGCAGAGCCAGGGAGGAGCAGUGUUGUUGUAGUUUGAGGGUCAUGGAGGUACAGACCCAGGGAGGAGCCGUGUUGUUUUGAGUGUCGUGGAGCCGGAGAUCCACGGAGGAGCUGG
rnacentral:lncRNA from 1 species